CGGCGUGCUUAAUACAUGCAAGUCAACUUGACUUUAGAUAGCAAUAUCGAAAAGUAGGGUGGCGCACGGGUGCGUAACGCGUAGGUAAUCUGCCCUGAGGUCUGACAUAACCCGUCGAAAGGCGGGCUAACAUCAGAUGAUAUAUAAUCACGACAUCGUGGAAAUAUCAAAUCUUCGGAGCCUUGGGAUGAGCCUGCGUCUGAUUAGGUAGUUGGCGGAGUAAUAGCCCACCAAGCCUACGAUCAGUAGCUGGUCUGAGAGGAUGAUCAGCCACACUGGAACUGAGACACGGUCCAGACUCCUACGGGAGGCAGCAGUAAGGAAUAUUGCUCAAUGGGGGAAACCCUGAAGCAGCAACGCCGCGUGAAGGAUGAAAUACUUUUGUAUGUAAACUUCUGUAAGAUGGGAAAAAUAUUCUCCUCGGGAGAAUUGAUUGUACCAUCAGAGUAAGCCCCGGCUAACUACGUG
rnacentral:rRNA from 1 species